UCCCUUGUGGCUCAGCUGGUAAAGAAUCUGCCUGCAAUGCAGGAGACCUGGGUUGGAUCCCCGAGUUGGGGAG
rfam:TPA: Bos taurus chromosome 8, whole genome shotgun sequence.